GCCUAGUUAGCUUAGUGGUAUCGCGUCUGCCUUGUAAGCGCUAGGCCGCGGGUUAGAUUCCCGCCCAGGGUG
rnacentral:tRNA from 1 species